UCAGGCCUAACACAUGCAAGUCGAGGGGUAGAAGGAGCUUGCUCCUUUGAGACCGGCGCACGGGUGCGUAACGCGUAUGCAAUCUACCUUUUACAGAGGGAUAGCCCAGAGAAAUUUGGAUUAAUACCUCAUAGUAUAUAACCUUCGCAUGUUGGUUAUAUUAAAGUUCCAACGGUAAAAGAUGAGCAUGCGUCCUAUUAGCUAGUUGGUGUAGUAACGGCACACCAAGGCAACGAUAGGUAGGGGUCCUGAGAGGGAGAUCCCCCACACUGGUACUGAGACACGGACCAGACUCCUACGGGAGGCAGCAGUGAGGAAUAUUGGACAAUGGGCGCAAGCCUGAUCCAGCCAUGCCGCGUGCAGGAAGACGGUCCUAUGGAUUGUAAAGUGCUUUUGUACGGGAAGAAACACUCCUACGUGUAGGAGCUG
rnacentral:rRNA from 1 species